UAGGCUCAAGGCGAUGGAGUUCGCCUGAACCGCCUCGUCCACCCGGGGCUGAUGACUCCUACCAAACA
rnacentral:ncRNA from 2 species